rnacentral:rRNA from 1 species
AGCGAACGCUGGCGGCGUGCUUAACACAUGCAAGUCGAACGUGAAAUGUAGCAAUACAGAGUAAAGUGGCGUACGGGUGAGUAACACGUAGGUAAUCUACCUUAGAGUUCGGAAUAACCUGCCGAAAGGCGGGCUAAUACUGGAUAGAGCGAAGAGAAUCAUAAUGAUUCUUUCGGGAAAGGGAGCCUGAUAAGGGCCCUCGCUUUAAGAUGAGCCUGCGUCUGAUUAGCUAGUUGGUGAGGUAAUGGCUCACCAAGGCGAUGAUCAGUAGCUGGUCUGAGAGGAUGAUCAGCCACACUGGAACUGAAACACGGUCCAGACUCCUACGGGAGGCAGCAGUGGGGAAUCUUGCGCAAUGGACGAAAAGUCUGACGCAGCCACGCCGCGUGAGUGAAGAAGGCCUUCGGGUUGGUAAAGUACGUCUGUCGGGCGGGACGGAAAA